GAGCACUUCAUUACCCAUCUUCUACCGCCAAAACUCACGCAACACUAGAGCGAGAGGAAGAGGGAGAGGGAGAGAAGCGAGGGUUUCGCAAAUAGGCUAGGUCGAUGGGGACUGCAUCUCCAAGGAAUUUCUGAGUUCAGGAAUCUCUGAUGUUAGUCAAGAGCAACACUCGCUACCAACGACGAGAGAAGCGCCUCAAAUCCUUUUACGAGAUCGCCGCCUCGGAGUACGCUCACGUCUCUGAGCCCGAUUUCAAAGUCUGUAAACUUCUCGAUCGGUCACGGUUUGAGAUCGGACGUCGAAGCCUCUCACACUCGCGCCUCAGCUUACACUUUCCGGUCAUGCUCUUUUACGAAAUGACCGAUCGAUAAGGUAUCGCUUCCGUUUGAGGCAAGAAGAAAACAUAUCAGAACCAGAAACGUGAGCGUACUCCGAAACUGACGUUUCUGGUUCCGAUUUCAAAUUUUGUCUUCUUUGCGUCAGACGAAGGCGAGACCUCAUAGAUCGGUCACGAUUUGAGAUCGGGCGUCGAAGCUUCUGACAAUCGCGACUCCGCCAACACUUCAAGAGAUUGAGAUAGAAGCAUACCAGCAAGUGAUGCAUGAAGGUGAGAAAUAAUAUAAGUAGAUACAAAAACAGAUCAGCGGAAGUCCAGACUUGGAGGUAUACCCUUGCACACCAUGUAAUAUGUUUAUAAAUUCUAUCUUGUGAUAUUUUUUUGGACAAGUUUCAUAUACAGUUUUCUUGGAAGAGGCAUAAGCCGUUGCUUCUCGUGGUAAGAUUUUAUGGACCAUCUUUCCUUUUUUCCCCUCCGGUUCAUUGAUGUUAUUAUCCUUGCAAAUGAAUUAAUACACCUCUAGAUAAAUUAGAACUGUGGCCUUGUUGAUGAUAUGAAUUUGUGAAAUGGAUUUGCUGGUCCAAUUGGUGGAUUACGGCAUUACAUCAUAUGAUUUCCUAUGUUAAAACGUGGCCCAAACUUUAUGGCUAUUUAACGAAAAAUUCACAUUAAAGAGUUUCUUGCUGGCUGCAUGUAACACCUCUGGAUUGGUAAUUGGUUACACUGGAAUAUUUUAGCUUACAAUAUUUUGGACGCCUCUCUUUGGGCAUUUGUACAAUUGAGGACUUCAUUUCAUAUUUUUUUUCCAAUGCCUAUUGUCCUUUUUAUGAUUUAUUCUGGUUGCAAAGAUUUUGGCCAUGCAUUUUUUUUUGGCACAAAUAGUUUAAAUAUCAUUCAGCAUCAAUCAUUGAGUUUGUAACACUCUUUAUUCGAUUUUUUAAAAAAAGUUUGUGAUAUAUCAAUACUUGAGCAUUCAAAGUCUUUUUUGAAGGAAAUCAAUGGUUGUGGUUCUGUUUUGGAACUUCAAAACUUGAAUUAUCUUGACUCAGACAUUAACUGAGAGGAAUUUCUUGGUAAUUGCUUUAUCCGCGGGAUCAUCUUUUAAUAAAUGUGUCAAACAUACAUUCUUAA